rnacentral:rRNA from 1 species
GACAGAGGAGCCAAGCGUUGUCCGGAUUGACUGGGCGUAAAGCGCACGCAGGCGGUCGUGCACGUGGGGUGUGAAAACUGGCGGCUUAACUGCCAGAGGCCACCUCAUACGGCGCGACUCGAGCCCUGCAGAGGUCCAUGGAAUUGCCGGUGUAGUGGUGAAAUGCGUAGAGAUCGGCAGGAACACCCAGGGGGAAACCAGUGGACCGGGCAGGAGCUGACGCUCAGGUGCGAAAGCGUGGGGAGCGAACCGG